GAUGAACGCUAGCGGGAUGCUUUACACAUGCAAGUCGAACGAGUGGCGGACGGGUGAGUAAUAUAUCAAAACGUGCCCAGUCGAGGGGGAUAACUACUCGAAAGCGUGGCUAAUAGCGCAAACUCUGUGAGCGGCCGAUAUUGGAUUGGCUAGGUGGUGGGGUAAAGGCUAACCAAGGCAACGAUCCGUAUCUCGUUUGAGAGGACGACCAGCCACACUGGGACUGAGACACGGCCCAGACUCCUACGGGAGGCAGCAGUGGGGAAUUUUGGACAAUGGGGGAAACCCUGAUCCAGCUAUCCCGCGUGUAUGAGAAGGCCUUCGGGUUGUAAAGUACUUUUGGCAGAGAGGCGGUAUCUGCAGAAUAAGCACCGGCUAGCUACGUGCCAGCAGCCGCGGUAAUUC
rnacentral:rRNA from 1 species